UAGCUGGUUCCCUCCGAAG
rnacentral:ncRNA from 2 species